rnacentral:rRNA from 1 species
GACAGAGGGGGCAAGCGUUGCUCGGAAUUACUGGGCGUAAAGGGCGCGUAGGCGGGAUGGCAAGUCGGUCGUGAAAUCCCUCGGCUCAACUGAGGAGCGUCGAUCGAAACUGCCGUUCUCGAGGGUUGCAGAGGAGACUGGAAUUCCCGGUGUAGCGGUGAAAUGUGUAGAGAUCGGGAGGAACACCGGUGGCGAAGGCGGGUCUCUGGGCAACUCCUGACGCUGAGGCGCGAAAGCGUGGGGAGCAAACGGG